rnacentral:rRNA from 1 species
GAUGAACGCUGACAGCAUGCUUAACACAUGCAAGUCGACCUGUAUUGGGGUUCUUAAUUUAGGUAUGGGUGGCGGACGGGUGAGUAACGCGUAAAGAACUUGCCUCUCAGCUAGGGAUAACAUUUGGAAACGAAUGCUAAUACCUAAUAUUAUUAUAAUAGGGCAUCCUAGAAUUAUGAAAGCUAUAAGCGCUGUGAGAGAGACUUGCGGUCCAUUAGCUUGUUGGAGGGGUAACGGCUCACCAAGGCCGUGGAGGGUCGGCGGCCUGAGAGGGUGGACGGGCAAACUGGGACUGAGACAAGGCCCAGUAUCCUACGGGGGGGAAGAGGGGGGAAUAUUUGACCAAGGGAGCGAGAGUGUGAUCGAGAAAUUCUGUGUGGGAGAACGGGUUUUGGGGAAUGAACAGCUUUUUGUGUGGAAAAAAAGAGAGUGACGGUACCAGCAGAAGAAGCGCCGGCUAACUACGUG